UACAGAGGGGGCAAGCGUUGUUCGGAAUUACUGGGCGUAAAGGGCGCGUAGGCGGCCUUCUAAGUCGAACGUGAAAUCCCCGGGCUCAACCCGGGAACUGCGUCCGAUACUGGAAGGCUUGAAUCCGGGAGAGGGAUGCGGAAUUCCAGGUGUAGCGGUGAAAUGCGUAGAUAUCGAGAGGAACACCUGCGGCGAAGGCGGGUUGCUGGGCUGAUACUGACGCUGAGGCGCGAAAGCCAGGGGAGCGAACGGG
rnacentral:rRNA from 1 species